rnacentral:rRNA from 1 species
AUGAUGCCCUGACCCUAUCCACUCGCUGGCUGGGGAAUGGGUGCACUUAUUAGAUCAGAAGCCAACCAGUGCAUGCGUUCGAGCCCUUUCCGGGGUGAGAUCGUGUGGGCUGUAGUACUUCUGGUGACUCUGGAUAAUUGUUACAGAUCGCAGUCGACCUUGAGUCGGCGACGGGUCCUUCAAAUGUCUGCCCUAUCAACUUUCGAUGGUAGGUGACCUGCCUACCAUGGUGAUAACGGGUAACGGGGAAUCAGGGUUCGAUUCCGGAGAGGGAGCCUGAGAAACGGCUACCACUUCCAAGGGAGGCAGCAGGCGCGCAAAUUACCCACUCCCAGUACGGGGAGGUGGUGACGAAAAAUACCGAUGCGGGACUCAUUUAAGAGGCUCCGUAAUCGGAAUGAGUGGACUCUAAAUCCUUUCACGAGGAUCAAUUGGAGGGCAAGUCUGGUGCCAGCAGCCGCGGUAACUCCAGCUCCAAUAGCGUAUAUUAAAGUUGCUGCAGUUAAAAAGCUCGUAGUUGGAUCUCGGUAGCAUUGUUGCCUGCAUAGUACUUAACCGUCAGUGUGUGCGUCGUAUUGUGUGCACGUGUGUGUGUGUGUGUGUGUGCGGUGCUCUGCUCGGCUUUGUCUACCUGCGUUGCCUACCUACUGCGCGUUUUCAUACGCCUGUGUAGUGUAAUGUUGGAAAUUUG